rfam:Triticum urartu cultivar G1812 contig476450, whole genome shotgun sequence.
GCUAGGAAGAGGAAGAAAGAGAGGGCCUAAGAGCAAUGGGGAUGAGAGCAUAGAGGAAAGCCUAAGUUAUCGGUUCUUCACCUCUUGUGUUGAGGUUUAAAUACCGUUUGGUAUUUCCCGAUGCCUCUCAUUCCUAUCGUUCUUAAGCACUCCUUCCUCUUCCUUUUUGUU